GGUUUGUGGCUCAGAGGUUAAAGCAUCUGCCUGCAAUGCAGGAGACCUGGGUUCGAUCCCUGAAUCA
rnacentral:tRNA from 1 species